AAUAUUGGACAAUGGAGGCAACUCUGAUCCAGCCAUGCCGCGUGCAGGAAGACUGCCCUAUGGGUUGUAAACUGCUUUUAUACGGGAAGAAACCGUGCUACGUGUAGCACCUUGACGGUACCGUAAGAAUAAGGAUCGGCUAACUCCGUGCCAGCAGCCGCGGUAAUACGGAGGAUCCAAGCGUUAUCCGGAAUCAUUGGGUUUAAAGGGUCCGUAGGUGGACUGGUCAGUCAGAGGUGAAAUCCUGCAGCUUAACUGUAGAACUGCCUUUGAUACUGCUAGUCUUGAAUCAUUAUGAAGUGGUUAGAAUAUGUAGUGUAGCGGUGAAAUGCAUAGAUAUUACAUAGAAUACCAAUUGCGAAGGCAGAUCACUAAUAAUGUAUUGACACUGAUGGACGAAAGCGUAGGUAGCGAACGGGAUUAGAUACCCCGGUAGUCUACGCCGUA
rnacentral:rRNA from 1 species